CCCAGACUCCUACGGGAGGCAGCAGUGGGGAAUUUUGCGCAAUGGGGGAAACCCUGACGCAGCAACGCCGCGUGCGGGACGAAGGCCCUCGGGCUGUAAACCGCUUUCAGCAGGGAAGACAUCGACGGUACCUGCAGAAGAAGCUCCGGCUAACUACGUGCCAGCAGCCGCGGUAAUACGUAGGUGGCAAGCGUUAUCCGGAUUUACUGGGUGUAAAGGGAGCGUAGGCGGCCUGCCAAGUCUGAUGUGAAAUACCGGGGCUCAACCCCGGGGCUGCAUUGGAAACUGGCAGGCUGGAGUGUCGGAGAGGCAGGCGGAAUUCCUAGUGUAGCGGUGAAAUGCGUAGAUAUUAGGAGGAACACCGGUGGCGAAGGCGGCCUGCUGGACUGCGACUGACGUUGAGGCCCGAAAGCGUGGGGAGCAAACAGGAUUAGAUACCCCGGUA
rnacentral:rRNA from 1 species